rnacentral:rRNA from 1 species
UACGUAGGGGGCAAGCGUUGUCCGGAAUCAUUGGGCGUAAAGAGCGUGUAGGCGGCCCGGUAAGUCCGCUGCGAAAGUCGGGGGCUCAACCCUCGAAUGCCGGUGGAUACUGUCGGGCUAGAGUGCGGAAGAGGCGAGUGGAAUUCCUGGUGUAGCGGUGAAAUGCGCAGAUAUCAGGAGGAACACCGAUUGCGAAGGCAGCUCGCUGGGACGUAACUGACGCUGAGACGCGAAAGCGUGGGGAGCAAACAGG